GGACAUGGGGGAAACCCUGAUCCAGCAAUGCCGCGUGUGUGAAGAAGGCCUUCGGGUUGUAAAGCACUUUUGUCCGGAAAGAAAACUUCUGCCCUAAUACGGUGGGAGGAUGACGGUACCGGAAGAAUAAGCACCGGCUAACUACGUGCCAGCAGCCGCGGUAAUACGUAGGGUGCGAGCGUUAAUCGGAAUUACUGGGCGUAAAGCGUGCGCAGGCGGGUUCGUUAAGACAGAUGUGAAAUCCCCGGGCUUAACCUGGGAACUGCAUUUGUGACUGGCGAGCUAGAGUAUGGCAGAGGGGGGUAGAAUUCCACGUGUAGCAGUGAAAUGCGUAGAGAUGUGGAGGAAUACCGAUGGCGAAGGCAGCCCCCUGGGCCAAUACUGACGCUCAUGCACGAAAGCGUGGGGAGCAAACAGGAUUAGAUACCCUGGUAGUCCACGCCCUAAACGAUGUCAACUAGUUGUUGGGUCUUCAUUGACUUAGUAACGUAGCUAACGCGUGAAGUUGACCGCCUGGGGAGUACGGUCGCAAGAUUAAAACUCAAAGGAAUUGACGGGGACCCGCACAAGCGGUGGAUGAUGUGGAUUAAUUCGAUGCAACGCGAAAAACCUUACCUACCCUUGACAUGGUCGGAACCCUGCUGAAAGGUGGGGGUGCUCGAAAGAGAACCGAUACACAGGUGCUGCAUGGCUGUCGUCAGUCGGU
rnacentral:rRNA from 1 species